rnacentral:rRNA from 1 species
UAGAGUUUGAUCCUGGCUCAGAUUGAACGCGGCGGUAUGCUUUACACAUGCAAGUCGAACGGGCUUAGGGGCUUGCUCUAAGUUAGUGGCGAACGGGUGAGUAAUAUAUCGGAACAUAUCCGGAAGUGGGGGAUAACGUAGCGAAAGUUACGCUAAUACCGCAUAUGCCCUGAGGGGGAAAGCGGGGGAUCGCAAGACCUCGCGCUAUUGGGGUGGCCGAUGGCGGAUUAGCUAGUAGGUGAGGUAAAGGCUCACCUAGGCGACGAUCCGUAGCGGGUCUGAGAGGACGACCCGCCACACUGGAACUGAGACACGGUCCAGACUCUACGGGAGGCAGCAGUGGGGAAUUUUGGACAAUGGGCGAAAGCCUGAUCCAGCCAUACCGCGUGAGUGAAGAAGGCCUUCGGGUUGUAAAGCUCUUUCAGCCGGAAAGAAAUCGUAUCUAUUAAUACUAGAUGCGGAUGACGGUACCGGAAGAAGAAGCCCGGCUAAUCGUGCCGCAGCCGCGGUA